CUAGUACUCUUAUCUGCUGUUCCAGUUAGCUUACUCUGGAGAACAGCCAGAACAGCCAAGAGACUAUUACAAUAUUACAGGAAGAAAGUGAUGAAGAAUUAAAACUAGUUUAGUAGAUAGGUUAGGAUCUUGUAUAUCAACAUCACAGUGAGCAACACAGAUGAAUGAUGGAAUGGGAAGACUGAAAGACACAAGUAGAGAAGUUAAAAUGUGCAAGAACGACCCCUUUUCCUUCAAGACUAGAGCAAAGGAAGAAAGGAUAAGGAACAAUAUUAAGAUUUGGAGCACAGAACUAGAAAAAAGGAAAGAAUAAAGGAAAGCUAAAAUGAUCUCAGGGAACUGAAAGAUUAGAUUCUAUCACUGUUAUAGAAAGUGGAGAACACAAGCAGGACUGAGACCUGCUGGCAUCAAGGAACAUAGGAAGAAAGCUGAAAGGACCAAAAGGCUAAGGGAGAUGUGCAUUGGAAGUCCAUCUGGUUCAGCUUUCUCAUUUUACUGAAGAGGAAACUAAAGCAUGAGGAGUGCCUUCCCAAAGUUACAGAAGUAGCAAGAAGCAAAGCAGACCCUGGUAUGUAGCGAUUUCACACUCUAGCCGGGCUCUAACAUCUAGAAGCACCUGGUACUCUUGGUUCUGCCUCUCCAGAUCACCCCG